UACGUAGGGGGCUAGCGUUGUCCGGAUUUAUUGGGCGUAAAGAGCGUGUAGGCGGCCAGGUAGGUCUGCUGUGAAAACUCGAGGCUCAACCUCGAGACGUCGGCGGAAACCAUCUGGCUAGAGUCCGGAAGAGGGAGAGUGGAAUUCCUGGUGUGAGCGGUGGAAAUGCGCAGAUAUCAGGAAGAACACCCGUGGCGAAGGCGGCUCUCUGGGACGGUACUGACGCUGAGACGCGAAAGCGUGGGGAGCGAACAGG
rnacentral:rRNA from 1 species